GAUGAAGAACGCAGCGAAAUGCGAUAAGUAAUGCGAAUUGCAGAAUUUCCGUGAGUCAUCGAAUCUUUGAACGCACAUUGCGCCCAUUGGCAUUCCGAUGGGCAUGCCUGUUCGAGCGUCAUUAUCCUCCCUCAAACCUCGGGUUUGGUGUUGGACCCAAGUUGUGCGAUGAACAACUGGUCUUAAAGACAAUGACGGCGUCCGUGGGACCCUCGAUGCAACGAGCUUUAAGGAGCACGCAUCGAGUUUUAAAAGGACCCUCCGGGCCGAUCUACCUCUCUUUCUCAGGUUGACCUCGGAUCAGGUAGGAAUACCCGCUGAACUUAAGCAUAUCAAUAAGCGGAGGA
rnacentral:misc_RNA from 1 species